AAGCAGAAACGCAUCGGGAAGAUAAGGAAGAAGCUAAAGAUGUCGGGCGCAGGCGAAAAGAUGGAAUCCCGGGCUAGACGUUCCAAGAUCUCGUGAUUGGUGUCACCGCGUGGCUGACAGGAGAUAAGGUCGACCACGGAAGAUCGGCCGUGAUGGAAGUGGGAACGAGCGAUUCGUUCGUCAGGUCGAUCCUCCGCAACCUCUCGCUGACCCGCGAGCAUCGGCACCUGGACGAGCCGCCCGGAACGACCGACCCUAUCGAUGUCGUUUCUACAACCCUGCAGGAGGAGAAGAUGGUGGAGCUAUUGGGCGAUGCCCUGUCGACGAACGACAGCGGCGUCGGCAGCAGCGAGUCGAGUUGGUUCAACGACUCGACGGCGAGCGACUCGACCGACUCGACCAUGCUGGCCUCUUCGUCCUUCGCGGAGUCCUCGUCGUACUCCACCCCGAGCGUGGACAACUACACCGGCAUAUCCGAUCUCUUCGUCUUCGACGAUCUGAACGACUACAUCAACCGGCUCAACUACAGCGUCUUCGUGAAUCUCACGGCCUAUGACGGCGGUGCGGGGCUGAACCUCAGCAGCGUCAAUUGCACGUCGUCGAUAGUCACCGGAGGUGCCGGGGACGUCGUCAGGGCAGGCGAGUGCGGCGGGACGGCCGGCGUCGACGAGAAGUCGAACGCGAACAGCUGGUGGGCCCUGAUACUCGUGAUCGUGCCGUGUUUGACGCUCUUCGGUAACGUGCUCGUUAUCUUGGCGGUGGUGAGGGAGCGUACCCUGCAAACCGUCACGAACUACUUCAUCGUCAGCUUAGCGGUCGCCGAUCUCCUCGUAGCGGUGCUUGUUAUGCCGUUCGCAGUCUACGUGCUGGUGAACGGGUCUUGGAGUUUACCUGGAUUUGUUUGUGACUUUUACAUCGCGAUGGAUGUGACCUGCAGCACUAGCUCUAUAUUCAACCUCGUCGCUAUUUCCAUAGACAGAUACAUAGCGGUGACCCAGCCGAUAAAGUACGCGAAGCACAAGAACAAUAGAAGAGUUUGGCUGACGAUAUUGUUGGUCUGGGCGAUAUCGGCCGCGAUCGGCAGCCCGAUUGUCCUAGGCUUGAAUAACACCCCUAACCGGAUACCGGACCAAUGUCUGUUCUACAAUACGGAUUUUAUCAUCUACUCGAGCCUCUCCAGCUUCUACAUACCCUGCAUCAUCAUGGUAUUCCUCUACUAUAAUAUAUUCAAGGCUCUGCGAAAUAGAGCGAAAAGGGCUCGUGCCAGCAAAAAACCGAAUUUAGGCGAUAUAAAACCGGGAAGCAUCAUCGAGAAUAUCGCUCACACGCGAAGUGGGUAUUCUGUGGCAAGGUUCGCGGAGACGGCGUUGGGGGCGGCCGCCCUGGUGGCUCCUGGGAUCGAGGAACCGACGAACACCGCUUCCGGCAGCAAUGAGGACGAGGACGAGACGCCCCUCGAUCCCGUCGUCGUCAUCUCCAACGACAAGAGCACGGAAUUCUUUCUAGCUACGGUCGUCGAGGAAGCAGCUUGUCGUUUCAGUGCGGUGGCGCAGGCCCAGCUGACCGGGACGCCCCACGUGCGGAAGGACUCCGGCUACGAUGGCGCGGCGAGCAGCACGAUGAUCCACGAGCCGCUCGAGACGAACUCCAGCCCGAGCCCGAACCCGCGGAUCACCUCGGCGCCGUCCUCGUCGACCUCGUCCUCGCCGCCGCCGACGAGGGGUCCCACCAGCGUCUCGUCGCAGACGAAGAAGAACGGCAACGGCAGCGCGAACAAGCAGGAGCUCAAGAGGCUGAGGAGCGCCGGCUCGUUGUUGCCGCUGCAGCUCGCGAGGACGCCCAGCGUGCUGUCGUCCGCCGGCAAGAAGGACCGCAAGAACGCCUCGGCCGGGUCAAGGUUCACCAUAUACAAGGCCAACAAGGCCAGCAAGAAGAAGAGGGAGAAGAGUUCGGCCAAGAAGGAGCGCAAGGCCACCAAGACUCUGGCGAUUGUGCUAGGGGUCUUUCUGAUAUGCUGGGUACCCUUCUUCACCUGCAACAUCAUGGAUGCGAUCUGCACGAAACUGACGAAGGCCUGUCAGCCUGGUGUUACAGCUUUCAUCGUUACCUCCUGGUUGGGUUAUAUGAACAGCUUCGUGAAUCCCGUAAUAUACACUGUGUUCAACCCCGAAUUCCGCAAGGCCUUCCGCAAGUUGAUCAGCGUGUAAGCGAGCGAUUCGUCCUCCUAAAGAAGAGCCACGGGCCGACAAACGUGACUCUCUCUCGGUGAAUCGUCGUAUUUGUGAUGUAACAACGAGGCUCUAGGCUCUCGCAACAAGCUCGCAACAGGUUUGACUCGCGAGCAUGGUACGGGCUCGAUCGAACGACGAAAUACCGGGACUCGUUCCGACCGCUUCGGUGCUCCGAUACCGUAGGAUUUGCCGCGUAUUCCGACGGUACGAGGCUACGAAUCGUAUGAAUAAUCAGGCGGACUUGGGACAAUGACAACGGUGUACGCGAAUAUCGGAAACACAACUCUCGGUUUCCACGGUUCGCUCGAGUGCGAGGGUAUUUCAUUCGCAGUAUCACGAUUCACGGUUUUACAUCUAAAUUACACGCUGCGUCGUCGUAUCAACCCUUUGUAAGGCGGAAUACGGUUGGGGGGUUAUUCCGCGAGGAUAAAGUCCGCGCAAAGGAUCGACGGUAAAAGGAAAAAGGUACCUUGAAUUAAUCGAGAGCGUAGGAAACGAGCGAAGAACUCUGAGAGGGUAAGCGCGAGCGCGUGGUUCAUUAUCGAGUUUCGCACCGACGAAGAGCUUCUGCUUCGCAAGCUGAGAGUUGCGCGGCCGAGAGAGCGGUUUCUCGAGACAUUCUGGAAGCAUGUCCCAAGUUUCGACGAUCCUUCACCGUCCUCUGUUUGCGGUCAAGCAUGGAGCUCGCCACGACCGAAUUUCCAAACAUAUCAGUACGAGUAUGCAGCGCGAUAAGCUGUUCGGGCGUCAACUUCCUUCGAGGAUGCGCUUUCACGCAUGACGGCGGACUACCGAGACGCUAACUGGCAUAUUAUCGAACGAAUUAACCCGAACACUGUGCUAUGUUUUUCUCUCGGAGCGAUCGGCCGUGUUCCAGCCAAGACUUUCUCAUCGAACUGUGAAACGUUUCCGGAGACGGACGUUCGCCCGUUGUAGUCAUUAGAUUCAGCCGUGACGUGUUACUCGGUGUUAGAAGAGAUACGGGAGUUUCGUUUCGCAGCACUCGGCUGAUCUUGAUCGCUUAAUCCUUCCAGAUAUGACGAAGAGGCGGUAGAAAGCAAACAUGUAGCGGCAGCGGCGAUGUCACCGGCAUCGAGUGUUACCACAUCGUUUGAUCGUUAAUUAGAUCGCGUCGAGUUGAACAAUCUCAAUCUUGAUCGUUAGGUCCGCAUUUCAACGACUAAUAUUUGGCCGACGUAAUGGCCGAGCAUCUCGAAGCCCGUGUAAGCCGAGAAUGCGCAGAUCGCCUCGGGUUUCCGAACGUGAACAAGCAUAGAUCCGAGUGUGGCGUGAGUAAUCUGACGGUAGCGUUUCACAGUUCCCCUAAUAUUAAAUUACCGGCGAUGGUAUUAGAUUAUAUUAGAGUUAUCUCGCGCUGAAUGCACGCGGUGCAGGAUCAAAUCGGAGUCCGGAUUACCGGCAGAGACCGGCGGAGCCGUUGCGAGCAAAUCACUACCAAUCGCGAUCGUUGGGUUCGAUAUACGUUUACGCGCGUCCUGUGCUGUUGCAAUAACGUCUAACAAUCAAAGCUUUUUAUCCCAUCGGUUUUUUCGAGCGCUGUACGACGUAGUUCUAAGCUUUCCAAUGUACAUUUGUAAAUAUUCUACGAGUUUCACGAGCGGCGCCGCCAGUCCUAUCGUACGGCUUCGCGUUACACGUGGCGCGGUUAACGACGGGGAUCCGCUUGAUUUAGGUGACGAUUCGCACGCCCGUAAGCCCGGGACGAGUGGGUCGCCGUGCGAUAAACGAGAAACGCGGGUCCGAGCCGCUCGUCGCGAUCGGUCAGCUUCCUGUGCGCGCGGCACGUGUAUAUAUAUUUCGUGAAAAACGGGGAAAUUGCUUUUCCGAAUUCUUCGCGCUCUGACGUCAAACGAAUCGCCAGUUCGAAAACAGCGCCCACGACGUUCCCUUUUUCACCUUCCUCGCUCACCCCCCCCUUCGGCAAUUCGCAAUGAUGUUUUUCACCGUUCCACCUUUCGCGAUACAGGGUGUUUCAGGAUUGCAGGUGACAAUUUCCCCGGCUAAUGCGGACUUGCUCGCUGUUUCGGCACGUUCGGUAUUAGCGAGUGCUGGCGCGCUGUGUAUUGCGCCCACGUCAGCUGGGUCAAUGACCGUGCGGUCGAGCGGCCAGCUGACAUACGCGUUCCAAUCGCGUAACGCCGUUACGUAACGCCGUCGGAACGUGGACUUUCCCCUACUCCAAUGCCCGUGUCAGCUGGCCGGCCGACCGCCGCGUCCUUCAUCUCUCUCUCGCGCGUGGUAUACAUCACUCCGACAUUCGUUGAUACCAGAAGUUUAGAGGACCGUAAUUCUUGAACGAAUCUACGCGAGAGAUACGACGCAAAAAUCGGCCGCAAUCUCCUUGGCUUUUAAUAUCAAUCCAGAGGAUGAUAGCAGUGAACGAUGGGAAACGAGAAAUUGCCUCGGUCGCUCAGUAAAAUACGAUGAUUAUUUGAAGUGAGCAAUUAAUGAGUUCAGAUAGCGCUGAAAAUAUAAAUAAAGGGUCAUUCGACGAUACGUCACGUCACGAGAGGGGGGGAGGGGUCGAUUAGCUUGCGUGAUAGGAGGGAGGAUAAGGGCCAGGAUAGAAUAAAGAAAUCUAGUAACAUAAUGUUUAAGAUUAAGAAGCUGUGAGAAAGGGGGAGGAAGUUACGUGAUGACACGUGAUAUGUCACGUGAUAUUGGAAGGUAGUCCGAAUACUUGGUAAUAAAAUGUGACGAAAAGAGAGAGGUAAAAGCAUUCAAAUUUCGCGUGACGUAAUUGUUGAAUGGCCCUAUAAGAUUAGUGUGCUUUUAAAUCAGCUGUUACUUUUAUUGGCACUUUGAAUUCUCUGAAAUACCGACCGUUUCGCGAUAAGUGUAAUCGCAAUAAAAUAGAGAACGUGGUUUAUAUAAAAUAAAACGCUAAAUAUUUCACGAACGAUCAUUUUUGUGGCUUUGUUUACGUUUUCGCUCGCGUUAAUCUCGAGACGCCCUAUAUAUAUUUGUUCAUUUGAUUUACGACAAGCUGCGAUUAACGAUCGAACAAAUAAAUACGCAGAAUGUUUUCGCAAAGCGACAUUAUGAAGACAAAAUUGUCGCGAGCGAUCUUUCUACAAUUUCACACUCUACUUUGUCAUGCUUAGCUUCAUUGGUCACUUUUAACUUUCCUCCCUGCGAGACGAGGUAACAUUACUUCGGUAAUGUGCAAGACAAUAUCCGUGUUACGAACGGCGAGGUCUCAAGUCUCUCGGGAUAGAACGCGGCUCUGUAGUGAGGUGAAAUUUGCUUCGCGCCGGAUGCGAAGUCUCCCGGCACAAAGCUGCGGCUUUCAAAUUCUGAUAAAUCUUUUAAUUUAUGUAAACCUCCGGAGGUGAGGUCUACUUAAGUCGCUUCGGUCGCAAUAAAUCCGUGCGAACCGGCUGAAGUUUAAGCCCUUUCGUAACUUCGUCGAAAAGUUCGCCGACCCUCUCGCUUUUCGACCUUUCGCGACUCGCUGCCCCGCGACGAUCGCGCUCCCCGUCCCGCUUCGCGGAUCGCGCCACGUACCGCUCGACGUCGUCGUAAGAUAAAGAGAUCUCCGGUGGAAGUCGAUCGCUUCUCAAUUAGCGAGGUUCUCACGCUUUGCUUUUCGUGUCAGCGACGAAACGCAGUGGACAGUCCGCGGGAUCCUCGCGAUCGCAACUGAUCUUGCGUUCGAUCCGUAUUCUCACCGCUACUUAGCGACGCCUUUAGCGCUGAACAUGGUCAUAUAAAUGCAAGUCUUACUCUGUCGCGGGUCAAUUGAUGAAAUAGAGACGAGUGCCAGACAGUUGGAAUUAGCGCUAAACGCACGGUGAGAUUAUGGAUUCAAUUGGUCGAGAGAAACGAUAAACAAGCGUGAGGCUUAAUGAUCCCGAACGAAGGUAUAAAAUGUAGCCAACAAAUGCUUUCGAGCAAUGUGAGAGAGAAAGAGAGAGAGAGAGAGAGAGAGAGGGAGAGGAAAAGGGUGAGAGAGAAGUGAGCCUAGUCUUCUGUUAUAGCGUGACAUUUCGAAAGAUGUUAGAAAGUUUCUUACAAUCCUGAGUAAGAUGGCUGUAUUUUUCUAACCUGAUACUUUCCCCUCUGUACAUAUGCGACACAUAUAUAUGAUAUACGUGCGUGACACGAUAUCACAAUUUGCGAGAGCAAGUUAACGUAGCGCUGUAUAUCUAUGUAAAUAUAGGAUACUAAUUGGGGAAGCAUGAUUGCGUUUGUGCGCGCGUGUGUAUGUAUGGAAGAUGCGACCGGAGUUUCUGAGGAUUCUCAACUGAGCCCGAAUCACGGAAACUUCCUGUUUGCCCAAAGCGAUCAUAUUGACACGUUGUCUUUCGUGGAUGAAAGUGUUGGAAUGCUGUAAUGUUGAAAAAAAAAAGAAAAAUAUAUAUAUAUAGUAUAUAUUACACGAAGUAACGUGCGCGCGUGUUAUUUCAGUGCGUGUGGUCGGAUGCUGUUUUCCUAUGAAUUUCUUAUUUAUUAUCACCAAUGGUCUAUACAGGGCAUAGAUAUAAGAGGAAAGAUCUUUAAUUUGCUGAAAUUAAGCCGCGACAAACGAGAUAAAAAGAAAAUAAUGCUGUAUGUACUGAAGGCAAUACCUAUACAUACCUACGAGAGCGCGAGAAAUAUACAUUCACACGUGACAUGAACAUACAUACACAG